GACGACUCAGUUAAUUCAUCCCCAGUGAAUCCUGAAUGUGAUGUGAUGUACAGUUCUGGGAUUAAACUUGCCAAGACUGAAGCAUGUGAACCAGCAGAUGUAGAGGAAAAUGUGAUCUACAGCCCUGUGUCUGAAUAGGUGUUUGAUCUGACCUGAACAAAAUAUGAAGACAGAUGCAAGAGCUUGCAAAACAGCAACAGAGAUAAAGUCAAAUUAUAUUUGGUUUGUUGAAAUGUGCCAAAAAUAUAAAUAUGUGUUUAUUAGGGCUGCCCUCGACCAAAGAUUUUUCUAGCUGACUAGUCGUCGUUUUAUUUUCGCUAUUAUUCGACUAGUCACUAGAGAUCUUCACAGGUUCACUUAGAUCCGAAAACCCGAGACCCGACCCAAGACCCGAUCGGGUUCGUGUCUAAAAGUUUAAUGUGUGCCUCAUACACGGGUCGGGUAUAAUAUUAGCUAGGAACCAUAAGCUUUUACCAUUAAAAACCACUACACUGUAGUGUGUUUUGGGCUUUAUUCCAUUAGAACCAAUACAUAUUACAUUAGAACCAAUACAUAAAACCAAUAGAACCAAUACAUACCAUUAGAGACCAACAAAAACCAAUACACUGUGUUUUGGGCCAUAUUCCAUUAGAACCAAUAAAAUUCCCAAUAAAACCAUUAGAAUGGUUUUACUAAUGGUUUUAUUGUUUUUUUUCAGCGGGCUGCUAGACUAAUGAUUAGUCAACUGA